AUGUUUAAAUUUGCAAAUUUGCAUCAUAAAUAAAGGAUGUUUUUUUCAGUUAAAAGCGGUGUUCCCUGUUUUUCGUUUAUUUUUGCAGUUUAAAAAUAAAAACAAAAUAAAAAUGGCAAUGUUUUCAUUUUUUCUUUUUUUCAAUUUGUCUCACAUCGGUUCUAAAGCAAUGCAUGAAUCAAAGUGUUCCCUGUUUUUCGUUUAUUUUUGCAGUUUAAAAAUAAAAACAAAAUAAAAAUGGCAAUGUUUUCAUUUUUUCUUUUUUUCAAUUUGUCUCACAUCGGUUCUAAAGCAAUGCAUGAAUCAAC
rnacentral:lncRNA from 1 species